rnacentral:rRNA from 1 species
GACGAACGCUGGCGGCGUGCUUAACACAUGCAAGUCGAACGGUGAAAGCGGAGCUUGCUCCGCUGGAUCAGUGGCGAACGGGUGAGUAACACGUGGGCAACCUGCCCCUCACUUCGGGAUAACUUCGGGAAACCGGGGCUAAUACCGGAUAUGACCUCCUUGGGCAUCCUUGGAGGUGGAAAGUUUUUCGGUGAGGGAUGGGCCCGCGGCCUAUCAGCUUGUUGGUGAGGUAGUGGCUCACCAAGGCGACGACGGGUAGCCGGCCUGAGAGGGCGACCGGCCACACUGGGACUGAGACACGGCCCAGACUCCUACGGGAGGCAGCAGUGGGGAAUAUUGCGCAAUGGGCGAAAGCCUGACGCAGCAACGCCGCGUGAGGGAUGACGGCCUUCGGGUUGUAAACCUCUUUUAGUAGGGAAGAAGCGAAAGUGACGGUACCUGCAGAAAAAGCACCGGCUAACUACGUGCCAGCCGCCGCCGUAA